rnacentral:lncRNA from 1 species
AAAAAAAAUAGGAGUAAGCUUGUGACACGUUCACUAAAAAAAAAUCCCUUUGUAGCCAAUCAUUUAUUAAAAAAAAUUGAUAAGCUUAACACAAAAGCAGAAAAAGAAAUAAUAGUAACUUGGUCCCGGGCAUCUACCAUUAUACCCACAAUGAUCGGUCAUACUAUUGCUAUCCAUAAUGGAAAAGAGCAUUUGCCUAUUUAUAUAACGGAUAGUAUGGUAGGCCACAAAUUGGGAGAAUUUGCACCUACAUUAAAUUUUAGAGGACAUGCAAAAAGCGAUAAUAGAUCUCGUCGUUAAUAUUAAUAAAAAAAUCUAGAUACUUAUGAUUCAGUAGUAGGAGACAAACCUUAUGCUAAAGAAGAAAAAAACAGAAGUAUAUGCUUUAGGUGAACAUAUAUCUAUGUCUGCUGACAAAGCACGAAGAGUAAUUGAUCAAAUUCGCGGACGUUCCUAUGAGGAAACGCUUAUGAUACUAGAACUCAUGCCCUAUCGAGCAUGUUAUCCCAUUUUGAAAUUGGUUUAUUCUGCAGCAGCAAAUGCUAGUUACAAUAUGGGUUCCAGCGAAACCAAUUUAGUCAUUAGUAAAGCCGAAGUCAAUGAAGGUACUACUGUGAAGAAAUUGAAACCUCGAGCUCGAGGACGUAGUUUUCCGAUAAAAAGAUCGACCUGUCAUAUAACUAUUGUAAUGAAAGAUAUAUCUUUAGAUGAUGAAUAUGGCGAGAUGUCUUCGUUAAAAAAAACGAGAUGGAAAAAAAAAUCUACAGCUAUGACGUAUCGUGAUAUGUAUAAUAGCGGGGGAUUAUGGGACAAAAAAUAAAUCCACUUGGUUUCAGACUGGGUACAACCCAAGGUCAUCAUUCCCUUUGGUUUUCACAACCCAAAAAUUAUUCUGAGGGUUUACAAGAAGAUAAAAAAAUCAGAGAUUGUAUCAAGAAUUAUGUACAAAAAAAUAUGAGAACGUCCUCUGGCAUCGAGGGAAUUGCACGUAUAGAGAUUCAAAAAAGAAUCGAUCUGAUCCAGGUCAUAAUCUUUAUGGGAUUCCCAAAAUUAUUAAUAGAAAGUCGACCGCGCGGAAUCGAAGAAUUACAAAUGACCUUACAAAAAGAAUUUAAUUGUGUAAACCGAAAACUGAACAUUGCUGUCACAAGAAUUGCAAAACCUUACGGAAACCCUAAUAUUCUUGCAGAAUUUAUAGCUGGACAAUUAAAGAAUAGAGUUUCAUUUCGAAAAGCAAUGAAAAAGGCUAUUGAAUUAACAGAACAAGCGGAUACAAAAGGAAUUCAAAUACAAAUUGCGGGGCGUAUCGACGGAAAAGAAAUUGCACGUGUCGAAUGGAUCAGAGAAGGCAGGGUUCCCCUACAAACGAUUCGAGCUAAAAUUGAUUAUUGCUCUUAUACAGUUCGAACUAUCUAUGGAAUAUUGGGCAUCAAAAUUUGGAUAUUUCUAGACGAGGAAUAAUUUUACUACUUGUCUUUCCCUUCUAUCCAAUGAUUGAACAAAAAAAAAGACCAAUUCAUUCUUUUUCUAAUCAAGGGGAACAUUUCUAAUUCUUAAUUCUUUCUAAUUCUUAAUUCUAUAAGGUUGAAUAAAAAUUCGAUUGACCAUUUGAUAUAAUUGCUAUGCUUAGUGUGUGACUCGUGGGUUUUGUUAGGGUUAGGAUUAAAAAAACCCAGCCCACAUAGUAUGAACUAAAAACUAUAGAACUAAUAACCAACCCAUCACUUCGCAUUAUCUGGAUCUAAAGAACCAGUCAAGAUAUGAUAUAUAGGUCAUAUCUUUGUAGCAACUGAAAUCUUUUGCAUAAACAAAAAAAUCUGCUUCUAAGUUGUAAAGCAAAAUAGACAAAAAAGAUGUGGAUAAAGGGAAGGAUGAGAGAAAGAGAGAAAAAGAAUACCAAUGAUAUAAAAUUCCAAUAUGUAAGGUCUAUGAGUAAUCUCAUAAAAGACAGUGUAAUAAAGCAUCAAUACGCAUUCAUACCAUACUAAAAAGAAUCUUCUUAUAGAAAUAGAACAAAAAAUCAAGAGCUUCGAGCCAAUAAAGACUAAGAAGAUUGACUCAAGAACCAAUUUGAUUCUGAGCUCCAUUGUAGAAUUCGGACCUAACCAUUAAGUAAGAAGUGAUGGGAACGACGGAACUUGUGAAUGCAAAAGAUUCUAUUGAAAAAGGAAUCUUAAUGAUUCACUGGUCGGGAUGGCGGAACGAACCAUAGAUUAAUUCAUGUAUUCUGAGAUCUGAGAAGUCACGAGUUAACCCUACAAAUGAAAUAGGGAUUGAAAGAGUAAAUAUUCGCCCGCGAAAACUUUUUUAUUGCAAAAUUUAGGACAAUACAAUAAAGGACAAAAUAAGGAUUUGGUAUAAUAAUACAAUUUUUUUUAUUUCUCUUUAGAAAACUACAAAGUUUAGUUAUCUAUUCAAACAAGAUAUACAAAUUACUAAUAGAUUUAAUGAAAUCUCAAAGAAGCCCACGUUCAAGGUAUUACUCAGUAAAUACAUAUCUUAUAUAUCUUAACUUAAGAUUUACUAUUCUAGCUUAAUUCAAAUUGAAUUUUUUUGAAUCCUUUUAUUUGCGAGGAGCUGGAUGAGAAGAAACUCUCACGUCCGGUUCUGUAGUAGAGAUGGAAUUCAGAACCAACCAUCAACUAUAACCCCAAAAGAACCAGAUUCCGUAAACAACAUAGAGGCAGAAUGAAGGGAAUAUCUUAUCGAGGUAAUCGUAUUUCUUUCGGUAAAUAUGCUCUUCAGGCACUUGAACCUGCUUGGAUUACAUCUCGACAAAUAGAAGCAGGCCGACGGGCAAUGACACGAAAUGCACGUCGUGGUGGAAAAAUAUGGGUACGUAUAUUUCCAGACAAACCUGUUACAUUAAGACCGGCAGAAACCCGUAUGGGUUCAGGAAAAGGAUCCCCUGAAUAUUGGGUAGCUGUUGUUAAACCGGGGCGAAUACUUUAUGAAAUGGGUGGAGUAACAGAAAAUAUAGCCAGAAGGGCUAUUUCACUAGCAGCAUCCAAAAUGCCUAUACGAACUCAAUUCAUUAUUUCGUAAUGUAAUAGAAAAAAAUGUAGAAAGGGCUCUUAGAUAUGAAAGAAAACCGCAUGUUUCUUUUUUUUGGACAAAAAUAUUUCUUUUUUUUUCUUCGCCCUUUGCAUUCAAAGAACGGAUUAAAAAAAUGAUUCAACCUCAGACCCAUUUAAAUGUAGCGGAUAAUAGCGGGGCUCGAGAAUUGAUGUGUAUUCGAAUCAUAGGAGCUAGCAAUCGUCGAUAUGCUCAUAUUGGUGACGUUAUUGUUGCUGUGAUCAAAGAAGCAGUACCAAAUAUGCCCCUAGAAAGAUCAGAAGUAGUCAGAGCUGUAAUUGUGCGUACCUGUAAAGAACUCAAACGUGACAACGGGAUGAUAAUACGAUACGAUGACAAUGCUGCAGUUGUUAUUGAUCAAGAAGGAAAUCCAAAAGGAACUCGAAUUUUUGGUGCAAUCGCCCGGGAAUUGAGAGAAUUAAAUUUUACUAAAAUAGUUUCAUUAGCUCCCGAGGUAUUAUAAAAUGAAAUUGUGAUCUGUUUCGAGUGGGGUAUUUGAAAGAAAUAGAUUAAUUAGUAGAUUGUGUCUCACGCAUAUAUCUUUAAUAAUUCAUAUCAUAUUCAAAAAUAAAUAAGUAAAAAACACGUUGAUUAUAUCAAAUUUGGAGACCCCAAUAAUUUUAGUUCAUCAUGGGCAGGGACACUAUUGCUGAGAUAAUAACUUCUAUACGAAAUGCUGAUAUGGAUCGAAAAAGGGUGGUUCGAAUAGCAUCUACUAAUAUUACCGAAAAUAUUGUUCAAAUACUUUUACGAGAGGGUUUUAUCGAAAACGUGAGAAAACAUCGAGAAAACAACAAAUACUUUUUGGUUUUAACCCUGCGACAUAGAAGGAAUAGGAAAAGACCCUAUAGAAAUAUUUUAAAUUUAAAACGAAUCAGUCGACCUGGUCUACGAAUCUAUUCUAAUUAUCAACGAAUUCCGCGAAUUUUAGGUGGAAUGGGGAUUGUAAUUCUUUCUACUUCUCGAGGUAUAAUGACAGACCGAGAGGCUCGACUAGAAGGAAUAGGUGGAGAAAUUUUGUGUUAUAUCUGGUAAUCCUUUAUAAUAUGCAAAUUGAAUUCGAAACUUCCUAUUUGCGAAAAAGGGGGGGAGAGUUAUCUAAUAUCUUUCGCAUUAGUUGAUACCUCAAAGGAACUUUGUUUUAUACAGAUACUGCCAGGAGAUAGAGUCAAAAUUGAAGUAAGUCCUUAUGAUUCAACCAAAGGACAUAUAAUUUAUCGACUCCACAACAAAGAUUUGAAGGAUUAGGUUUUCAACUUCACCAUUCCUUUCGUGGGAAUACAAUUCGAGAUGAAAAAUUUCAAGAAACUUAUUUUCUUCCAAGAAAUAGAUUCAGAAUUAAGGUAAGGAAUGAUAAAUAUGAAAAUAAGAGCUUCCGUUCGUAAAAUUUGUGAAAAAUGUCGACUAAUCCGUAGGAGGGGGCGCAUUAUAGUAAUUUGUUCCAACCCGAGACAUAAACAAAGACAGGGCUAAUCAGACUUGCCAGAAGAGCCGAUGUACAAAUAAAGAAUCUGUUUUGACAUGAAAUGGAUAUAUCCAUAUAUCUCUGACUCAUAUUUACGAGAUGAUAAAAUAUGGCAAAAGCUAUACCGAAAAUUAGUUCGCGUCGGAAUGGACGUAUUAGUUCACGUAAGGGUGCACGUAGAAUACCAAAGGGAGUUAUUCAUGUUCAAGCAAGUUUCAAUAAUACCAUUGUCACUGUUACAGAUGUACGGGGUCGAGUAGUUUCUUGGUCCUCAGCUGGUACUUCUGGAUUCAAAGGUACGAGAAGAGGAACACCGUUUGCUGCUCAAACCGCAGCAGCAAACGCUAUCCGUACAGUAGUGGAUCAAGGUAUGCAACGAGCAGAAGUCAUGAUAAAAGGUCCCGGUCUCGGAAGAGAUGCAGCAUUACGAGCUAUUCGUCGCAGUGGUAUACUAUUAACUUUCGUACGGGAUGUAACUCCGAUGCCACAUAAUGGCUGUAGACCUCCGAAAAAAAGACGUGUGUAGAACUGAACAUUGAAGAAAUCUCAAGAGAAAUAAAAGAUUCGAUGAUCUAAUCAAAUAAUAGUACUAUGGUUCGAGAGAAAGUAACAGUAUCUACUCGGACACUACAGUGGAAGUGUGUUGAAUCAAGAACAGACAGUAAACGCCUUUAUUAUGGACGCUUUAUUCUGUCUCCACUUAUGAAAGGCCAAGCCGACACAAUAGGCAUUGCGAUGCGAAGAGCUUUACUUGGGGAAAUAGAAGGAACAUGUAUCACACGUGUAAAAUCUGAGAAAGUACCACAUGAAUAUUCUACCAUAACGGGCAUUCAAGAAUCGGUACAUGAAAUUUUAAUGAAUUUGAAAGAGAUUGUAUUGAGAAGUAAUUUAUAUGGAACUUCUGAGGCGUCUAUUUGUGUCAAGGGUCCUGGAUAUGUAACUGCUCAAGAUAUCAUCUUGCCACCUUAUGUGGAAAUCGUUGAUAAUACACAACAUAUAGCUAGUUUAACGGAACCAAUUGAUUUUUGUAUUGGAUUACAAAUAGAGAGAAAUCGUGGAUAUCUUAUAAAAACGCCACAUAACUUUCAAGAUGGAAGUUAUCCUAUAGAUGCUGUAUUCAUGCCUGUUCGAAACGCGAAUCAUAGUAUUCAUUCUUAUGGGAAUGGGAAUGAAAAACAAGAGAUACUUUUUAUCGAAAUAUGGACAAACGGAAGUUUAACUCCGAAAGAAGCACUUCAUGACGCAUCCCGAAAUUUAAUUGAUUUAUUUAUUCCCUUUUUACAUAUGGAGGAAGACAACUUAUAUUUACAGGACAAUCAACACACGGUUCCUUUAUCCCCUUUUACCUUUCAUGAUAAAUUGGCUAAACUCAUAAAAAACAAAAAAAAAAUAGCAUUGAAAUCGAUUUUUAUUGACCAAUCAGAAUUGUCUUCCAGGAUCUAUAAUUGCCUCAAAAUGUCCAAUAUAUAUACAUUAUUGGACCUUUUGAAUAACAGCCAAGAAGAUCUUAUGAAAAUUGAACAUUUUCGUAGCGAAGAUAUAAAACAGAUAUUGGACAUUUUAGAAAAAUAUUUCGUAAUUGAUUUAGCAAAAAAUAAGUUUUAAAUCUAUUGGACUUACUUAGUGAAAAUAGAUUGAAAAAGCACAAUUUAGCACAAUUAAUAUAUCAUAUAUUAGAUAUUAGAAAGAAAUUAAUAAUGAAAUUGAAUAGAUGUAUCUAGGGAGAAUUCGCUUUGAAGAAACUAUUCCCUAGAUACACAUGUCGUGUUAGUUCACAAUUGAAUCAAUUAAAAAAUUUAAAAAAGACCUAAAGUUAGGGAUUUAUCAAUAGGUAAUGUUGCACCAAUGCCCAACCAAAGGGCGACUGCGGUACCAAUCAAAAAGACAGUCGUCGCUACUGGACGGCGAAAUGGAUUUUGGAAUUUAUUAACAUUCUCUAAAAAAGGUACUGUUAAUAAUCCCGCAGGUACUGAAACCAUUAAAAGAACCCCCAAUAAUUUAUUGGGCACUGUACGAAGUAUUUGAAAUACAGGAAAGAAAUACCAUUCAGGUAAGAUUUCCAAAGGGGUUGCAAAUGGAUCCGCUGGUUCACCAAUCAUUGAUGGUUCUAAAACGGCUAAGCCUACAUUACAUGCAAUAGUACCUAGAAUUACUACUGGAAAAAUAUAUAAAAGAUCAUUGGGCCAUGCGGGCUCGCCAUAAUAAUUAUGACCCAUACCCUUAGCCAAUUUAGCUCUUAAUACAGGAUCAUUCAAGUCAGGUUUUUUUGUUAUUGGGAUAGGUGAAUUCUUAUAGAUCCAUCCCCCGAGGGAACUGGACAUGAUAAUUUUUAAUCAUCCAGCUCGAGCAAGAAUAAAAAGAACCAAACGAAUCCAUAUAUCCAUAGAAAAUAUCUAUAUGGUACCUGUAUUUACACAUACACAUAUAUGAUAUAGGAAUGGUUCAAUAUAAGAAAAAUUUGACUGAAUUCUUUUUUAUGGAGUUGCAACUCUCCAUUACAAAACAAAGAAUUCCGUUCUUACAAGUAAAUACUCAAGACCCAAGUAGGCUUACAAAUCAGAUCAUGAUAUGAUCAAGUGCUUUCUGGGUCGUCUCAGACCUUCUAAUUGGUAUUUAUCUCCAAAAUGCUUGGAGAUACACAUACAAGGUUUGCUUGUUACUAAUAUAGUCUAGCCUCUCUUCUUCUUUAGAUCCCUUGUUUCACUCCGAUAGUAGUAUUGAUCGUGUCAAUGCAGAGGAAAUGAAUACAUUUACAUACUAUUAAAUCUUCUAAGUGAACUAGAUAAAAGGGAAUCUUGAUUCCCUUUUAUCUAGUUCACUUAUACUAGAUCUUACGGAGCCUGCUCAUGUACAACAUGAUUCGGAUCAUAGAAAAGAUUCUCUUUAAGCGAACCAGCCUAUCCUCUGUAUAGGGUUACACGGCGAUUGGAACAAAGAGACACAUUUGGUUGUGAAUUCCC